rnacentral:rRNA from 1 species
GAUGAACGCUGGCGGCGUGCCUAAUACAUGCAAGUCGAGCGAACAGACGAGGAGCUUGCUCCUCUCACGUUAGCGGCGGACGGGUGAGUAACACGUGGAUCACCUACCUAUAAGACUGGGAUAACUUCGGGAAACCGGAGCUAAUACCGGAUAAUAUAUUGAACCGCAUGGUUCAAUAGUGAAAGACGGUUUUGCUGUCACUUAUAGAUGGAUCCGCGCCGCAUUAGCUAGUUGGUAAGGUAACGGCUUAGCAAGGCAACGAUGCGUAGCCGACCUGAGAGGGUGAUCGGCCACACUAGAGCGGGGACACGGUCCAGACUCCUACGGGAGGCAGCAGUAGGGAAUCUUCCGCAGUGGGCGAGAGCCUGACGGAGCAACGCCGCGUGAGUGAUGAAGGUCUUCGGAUCGUAAAACUCUGUUAUUGGGGAAGAACAAAUGUGUAAGUAACUAUGCACGUCUUGACGGUACCUAAUCAGAAAGCCACGGCUAACUACGUG